ensembl:lncRNA
CUUCAUGAAAAAUAAAAGCCUAGAAUCACUUUUGCAUUCUGCUUCUCAACAACGAUUGAAUCAUCCUUUAAGUAGAGUCAGAGUCAUUAUGUACUUCUCAGGUUCUGUCAGUGUGUCUCACAGCGAUAUUUAAAUUUAGUCUUCUCGAUCCCAUCAUGACACCUACAGAGUCUGAAGAAGAGGAGGAUGUUUAUGAAAACAUGGAGACAGAAAGCUAGAAACCAUAAAGUGAACACUGACCUCAUAAUUGGUGGAAGCUCCUACUGUGAGGAUUCUAUCAUCGUUGUUAUAGUAUUAGCAAACACUAAUAGGUUUUACGUGACAGAAACCCUAUUCAAACUGACUUAACAAAAAGGACAGUUUACGACAAAUGGUCCUGUGAUUGCAUGAGAUGGGAAUGUGCCAGCGCCUUAGGAGGAAUCAGAACCAGACGCUCAAAUGAAGGUGGGUCUACUUUGGCCCCUAUCCAUUGACAUCUCAGUGCUUUGGUGAGGACAGUUCAUCCAUGGAAUAUUUCAGAGAAGAGAAUCAAUAACUGCACAAGGAAUCACAUUCUGAUGCGGGUACAGACAAGGAGACAUGCUUAACAAUGAAAAUUUCUCCUAUGAAUGCAAAGAUCUUUUAAGUCUUCUUCAAAGACCUGAUGAGAAACCUCUGGCCCUCUUGCUGCACUGUACAAACCUUGAUGUGUUUCUCUGCUGGCCAUACUGAGCUGAUGGUCCCAAUGUCAAUCAAUGUUAGUGAUACUUAGCAAACAUUUGAUCUCAUAGUUUAAGUCUUUUCUCCCACUUAUAAUAUAACAUUAUAAUGAAGAGUAUUAAAAUCAGAGUGAUGCGCUGUGAAUCCUAUUUUCUCCUUCAUUCAUUUCCUAUGUGUCCCUGAGAAAGAAAUGUAACCUUACUAAGCCUUUGUAUUCUAACCUAUAAAAUGGGCUUAAUAAUAGUUCUUAUUUCAUAGAGCUGCAAAGAUAAAAUGCUAACUGAUUAUGAUGAUGACAACAAG